rnacentral:rRNA from 1 species
GGUGAACGCUGGCGGCGUGCUUAAGACAUGCAAGUCGAACGGCAGUCUUCGGACUGUAGUGGCGCACGGGUGAGUAACGCGUAACUGACCUACCCCAAAGUCGCGGAUAACGAUUCGAAAGAAUCGCUAAUACGUGAUGUGCUGUCAGAUUGUGUUCUGCCAGUGAAGAUUGAUUGCUUUGGGAUGGGGUUGCGUUCCAUCAGCUAGUUGGUGGGGUAAAGGCCCACCAAGGCGACGACGGAUAGCCGGCCUGAGAGGGUGGCCGGCCACAGGGGCACUGAGACACGGGUCCCACUCCUACGGGAGGCAGCAGUUAGGAAUCUUCCACAAUGGGCGAAAGCCUGAUGGAGCGACGCCGCGUGAGGGAUGAAGGUCUUCGGAUCGUAAACCUCUGAAUCAGGGACGAAAGACACUUUGGUGGGAUGACGGUACCUGAGUAAUAGCACCGGCUAACUCCGUGCCAGCCGCCGCGGUAACAC